UCGAACCCUGCAAGGCAGAACGACCUGUGAACAUGUAACCACAACGGGGUGACAGGGAAAAGGGCCUAUGUCUUGAUCCCCUAACCCUUCCCGGUGUGCAUUAAUGGUGCCUUCUUUUGGGGAACCAUGGAUGUCUCGUCGGACCAUAACAAACCCCGGCACGGAAUGUGCCAAGGAAAACAAAAUAUAAGAAGGACACAUCUUGUAUUGCCCCGUUUGCGGUGUGCUUGCGGAUUGUGGCCUCCUUCGAAUCACAAACGACUCUCGGCAACGGAUAUCUCGGCUCAUGCAUCGAUGAAGAACGUAGCAAAAUGCGAUACUUGGUGUGAAUUGCAGAAUCCCGUGAACCAUCGAGUUUUUGAACGCAAGUUGCGCCCAAAGCCAUCUGGCUGAGGGCACGCCUGCCUGGGCGUCUCACAUCGCGUCGCACCCCACCAUACUUCCCCAACGGGUAGUCUUGUUCUUGGGGGCGGAAAAUGGACUCCCGUGCUUCUGUUUCGGAUGGCCUAAAUAGGAGUUCCCUUAUGCGGACACACAACUAGUGGUGGUUGAAAAGACCCUUGUCUUUUGUUGUGUGUCGUGAGUUGUAAGGGAAGACCUCAUUAAAGACCCCAUCGUAUCGUCACUUGACGAUGCUUCGAC
rnacentral:misc_RNA from 1 species